ensembl:lncRNA
CAGGUAUUCAUUGUCUUCUACAGUAGCGGGACAUUUGAUUUACUCUCAGCGGAAUUGACCGGAGAAGGCAUCAGGUCAUGCACUGCACUGGCCUGCACCACGAUUAGUAUAAGGCACAUUUCACGAAGCAGAACGCAGUCUUCAGAGAUAUCCACGUGAACGCUGUGAUACGCCUGACCUUCAGUCCGAAGAAGAAACCCAGACCAGUCUUAAAAGAAAGCACAAACCAAAUCCCCUGUACACAUAUACGGACUCAGAGGAUGAGCAGCCUACAAAAAAACAGUUUCCCCAGGCCCCUCGAGUGAAAAUACCAGCCCUCAUCACUCCGCAGUCUGCCCCCGAGCCCACUGAUAGCAACCAUCAUAAUGCCCCACCCAGCUUCCGGCACCUUUCGCCACUCCGGCACAAACCGACACAGCUUUGCGAUCUCGCCAGCAUGCAGAGUCUGAUGUCUUCCCUAUAGAUGAUUCCAGAGACUCUGUGAGGCCACUAUUACAAGGUGAGACGCUUUGCGUUGAUUGGUGCUGCUGGACCACACUGGAGGUGCGAGUCCGCCGUGUAAUGGUUUAUGCCAUUACAAAGGAGCUGGCCUCUGUACUCAACUGGGCAGGGAAAAAAACCAAGGACCAGACAAAGCAAA